GCCCAGCUAGCUGGCGUCUUUCAAACAUCGGGAGACGCGCUGUUCAUCUUCCUCCCUCAAUUUCCCCCAUUUUCCCCACCCCGCCUCUCUCUCCUCUGCACGGGGGGCUUCCGGUGUCGAGUUUGGUGGCGAUUUCGCUCGACGGGGCGUGGGGCGCCGCUGCGUCGGUCCAGGAACAGGACGCGACAGGCACGGGUCGCGGGAUUCGCCGAGCGGCGGCGUGGUUGGCGUCGGGUUUCUCCACGGCGACGAACUGGAGCGCACCGGUGUGUUUUCCCGCAUUUGAUAUCGUGCGCCCUCCCGCAGCUGAUAUCAUGAAUUCAAAUGAGGACGAAGCAGCAGGGGGAGCCCAUGAAGAAGAUAAAUCUUCAGAUUUAAUUCCUCAACGAAGUAGACGAAAUCAAUCGGCGGUGCAAAUCCCGCCAGCUGAAAUUGCAGUAGCAGCUGUCCCAGAUGCUGAUAACGUGUUGCAGGGUUGGCUUCUUUCGACACACUGAAGGUGCUUUUUGUAAAGACCCUAUGUAAUCCUUUUUUUUGCACUUUUUCCCGGGGCGGUUCGCGUUGUUUUUGUGCUUGCAGGUGCCAGUGAACGCCUAGGUUCAGGAUAGGCGUCCCACGGGCACAUGGCAAGAGAUGAUGGCUGCUGACCUGCUGUUCGAGAAGAUUGACUUCAAAUAUUUCAGAAAACAGACUUGCAAGUGUUGAAGAUGAUGUCGUGUUAGCUACUGUUGCUUUUGAUGCUACAAAUUGAACCUUUUAUGCAUGUGUUGCCUCGGCCGUCAGCUAUAGCCUGGAGGAGGCUGAUCAACUUAUCAUGCAUCCUCCCUCGAAGAACAAUGAGAUUGCUCCAGCUAAUGGUAACGUACUAGACACACAGGCCACUGGAGGCAAGUAAGCAGGAAGCGGCCAAGGUAAAAAGAAGGCGGGAUCAGGGGCCUGAUAAAGGCAACAAGAAGCGGAAUCAAGGGAACGAGGAGGGUGGGAACAUUUUUCUUUGCCUAGCUGUAGCAUGGACACUUAAUUCCCUGGCCAGAUUUUCAAUUUUGUUCCAGGACCGGUAAACGUGCAAAAUUCUGCCAUUUUUUGUUAACUUUUUUCUGAAUCUGUGUGUGCCUACUAUGUUUUUUGCGACCCCCUACUGAAACAACUUGUGUAAAACUGACUAUUCCACAUGCAAAUACCUACCAGACAACCUGUGUAAAAACUGACUCAA